GACGAACGCUGGCGGCGUGCUUAACACAUGCAAGUCGAGCGGUAAGGCCCUUUCGGGGGUACACGAGCGGCGAACGGGUGAGUAACACGUGGGUGACCUGCCCUCAGCUCUGGGAUAAGCCUGGGAAACUGGGUCUAAUACUGGAUAUGACUCCACGGUGCAUGUUGUGGAGUGGAAAGCCUUGUGCGGCUGAGGAUGGGCCCGCGGCCUAUCAGCUUGUUGGUGGGGUGAUGGCCUACCAAGGCGACGACGGGUAGCCGGCCUGAGAGGGCGACCGGCCACACUGGGACUGAGAUACGGCCCAGACUCCUACGGGAGGCAGCAGUGGGGAAUCUUGCGCAAUGGGCGAAAGCCUGACGCAGCGACGCCGCGUGAGGGAUGACGGCCU
rnacentral:rRNA from 1 species